CGUGGUGUAGUGGUAUUGCGGUUGGCUCGGAAGCCAGGGAGGUCGUGGGUUGGAGUCCGGG
rnacentral:tRNA from 11 species